GGCACAAACAGCCCCCGGCCGCCAGCAACACCGGAUGACGUACGGCGCCCCGGUUGGAGAUAGGUGUUGUAGCGUGAUUGUAGUCAGGUCUGCUUUUGUAACUGGAAGCUAACCUAUGGUCCCUUGCUAAUCCAGGAUCAAACUGCAGGAAGCGGGAUAUGGAGUGAAGAAGAAACAUGGAAAGAACAGAAAAUGAAAAUAUAAUGUAGGAGUCUCCAGGGCCACAUUUGUGAUCUGCAUAUGGGAAGCAGAGGAUGAGGAAUUGUGCUGUGCCUGUUCUAGUCUUCCUGCUGGUGGUAAGGGCAAGAAGCACCUCACACAAACUUCUACUGAUGACAGCUGGAUGGUAGCUCACUUAGAGAAAACGCCUGUAUCUGAAGCUUCAUCGUUAAUUUUUUUUAUAUAUAUAAAAGUAUUUCAGUUUCAUUCAUGCCAGCCCUUCAGUUUUUGUAUUGACACAGACAUUUAAAGUCGACUUCAUAUAGAGCCCCAGUCAGUGAAUCGUACUUUAAACUCCUCUAUCUAUGCAGCUUUGCACUGAAACUUAGCUAUAUUUGGUCAGCGUGGUAUUGUUCAGAAUCAUUAAGAAAUCAGGUCAGUGAAUGGCAGUGUUCAGAUUCAUUAAGAAAUCAGAUUUUCUCCUAUUGCUUCAACACUAAUAUUGAACCUUAUCGUAUGCAUAACAGCAUGGUACAUAUUAAACAAAUAAGUUCAUACUGAGUCAAAUAAUUUACGUAAUUAUUAGCAGGUCUUU